UGCAGUUGCAGGGUUUAAACUAGUGGGGCAUGGCUCUCAGACCGCUUCAAUGAGAUGAAAUGGUCUGGGCCACUAUACUGUCCCUUUAAAGUGUUGAUAUAUAUGCAUAAGUAAACCACUGUGUGAAACAUGUAAAAUAGAUUCAUUGCACCCCUCGAUGUCCCAGUCCCUCUCUUCAUACUUAAAUUAUUACUUUGAUGCUACUGCAGGGGAGGAGGAAAAGACCUUGCAGCAUAGUUACUGUAAAGGCUAAUGUUUGUAUGACUGGCUUGGCUGUAGUGUACCCCACGGUGCUUCUAUAUGCUAGAAUUGUAAACAGCCCAUGUUCUAGACCUUUACGCAGAGAAUAAAACGCUUGGCUAGUGAGCGAACGCCAGAGUGAGCAAACCCCAGAGUCUUUUAUGUCGAGAAGAGUAAAAAAGUCAUAAGCAAGUCACAUUACAUACUUUAACUUAUGUAAUGGAUAAACAAUAUUAUGUUUUGAAUGAUUGCCCAUGGACUCCAGAUCAAUGAAAAAUAAAAGUAGUACAAUUACUACACACCUUUAGAUUAUUUUGAAAAUACCAUAAAGCUAGGCGUAAAGACAGGAAAUAAUGAUAAUUUAUUUAGGUAGUCAGAAAUGUUUUUCUUUACUUCACAUUAAAUUAGACAGAAUUAAUUGAUCGCAGUAUACAAGCUAACACCAACUGGUUUACCUGCUUAAAGAUUUGAUAUCUUCUUUAUAAAUACCUAAUAAAAUAUAAUAUCGGAGGAUGCCCUACAGAUAAUGGUCCAGCUGAGCCAGUUGUGUAUGAUGUUAGGGAUCCUGAGAAGACUAUUCAAUACUAUGGACCACACACCAAAAUACUGUAUUGGAGGAGGGGGCUACUUCCCGGAGGCCAAUCCUAGACAUUGUGGAGACUUUAAAUCUCUGGAUUGGGAUGGUUACGGGACACACACUGGGUGGAGUGCCAGUAAACAAUUUGUAGAAUCUGCCGUGCUGCUCUAUUACCGCUAAUAUCUUCUACUAUCCGUUGGAUUCCUGAAGUAAUGUUCUACCCUUUUCUUGUUAUUCAUAUUAAUGCAUUUAACAUGUCCCCAGAGUACUGAAAACUGACCUGAUUUUCAUCUAGCUACGAUUCACAGUUUAUUGAUUCAACUCCCAUGAAAUGCUGUUUACAAUUACUACCAGUGACAUAUUAAUACGUGGGUUUAAUGUAUUUCUAUGUUUAAUUACUAUGCAAGCAAUAAAACACUGUACUAACA